rnacentral:rRNA from 1 species
AAUCAACGCUGGCGGCGUGCCUAACACAUGCAAGUCGAACGCGAAAGGGGCUUCGGCCCUGAGUAGAGUGGCGUCCGGGUGAGUAACGCGUGGGUAAUCUACCCUCGGGUGGGAAUAACCAAUCGAAAGAUUGGCUAAUACCGCAUAAUGCAGCGGCUCGACAUCGAGACAGUUGUUAAAGCCUCUUCGCAAGAAGGGGCGCCUGAGGAGGAGCCUGCGUCUGAUAGCUUGUUGGCGGGGUAACGGCCCACCAAGGCUACGAUCAGUAGCUGGUCUGAGAGGACGGCCAGCCACAAUGGCACUGAAACACGGGCCAUACUCCACGGGAGCAGCAGUGGGAAUUUUGCGCAAUGGGCGAAAAGCCUGACGCAGCAACGCCGCGUGAAGGAUG